GAUGAACGCUGGCGGCGUGCCUAAUACAUACAAGUCGAGCGAACAGACGAGGAGCUUGCUCCUCUGACGUUAGCGGCGGACGGGUGAGUAACACGUGGAUAACCUACCUAUAAGACUGGGAUAACUUCGGGAAACCGGAGCUAAUACCGGAUAAUAUAUUGAACCGCAUGGUUCAAUAGUGAAAGACGGUUUUGCUGUCACUUAUAGAUGGAUCCGCGCCGCAUUAGCUAGUUGGUAAGGUAACGGCUUACCAAGGCAACGAUGCGUAGCCGACCUGAGAGGGUGAUCGGCCACACUGGAACUGAGACACGGUCCAGAAUCCUACGGGAGGCAGCAGUAGGGAAUCUUCCGCAAUGGGCGAAAGCUUGACGGAGCAACGCCGCGUGAGUGAUGAAGGUCUUCGGAUCGUAAAACUCUGUUAUUAGGGAAGAACAAAUGUGUAAGUAACUAUGCACGUCUUGACGGUACCUAAUCAGAAAGCCACGGCUAACUACGUG
rnacentral:rRNA from 1 species